AGUGAACGCUGGCGGUAGGCCUAACACAUGCAAGUCGAACGAGUGGCGGACGGGUGAGGAAUACAUCGGACUCUACUCUGUCGUGGGGGAUCAAGUAGGGAACCUUACGCUAAUACCGCAUACGCUUGACUGCGCCGAUGUCGGAUUAGCUGGUUGGAGGGGUAAAGGCACACCAAGGGGACGAUCCGUAGCUGGUCUGAGAGGAUGAGCAGCCACACUGGAACUGAGACACGGUCCAGACGCCUACGGGAGGCAGCAGUGGGGAAUAUUGGACAAUGGGCGCAAGCUGGAUCCAGCCAUACCGCGUGGGUGAAGAAGGCCUUCGGGUUGUAAAGCCCUUUUGUUGGGAAAGCGGUACCCAAAGAAUAAGCACCGGCUAACUUCGUGCCAGCAGCCGCGGUAAUAC
rnacentral:rRNA from 1 species